CUUCAGUCCUCUCCUCCGUCACCGGACCUGUUCCCAGAAUUUCUCUGUCAACCAUUGCCAUGGUCUGCUGAACAAAUGCCCUUGGAAGGCCAAACUGCCAGCAAUGCUCAGUAAGGUUGGAAUGCCAUCAGCCUUGGUCCAGUAUGAACAGAAAUCCUCCAGAAAGGCGUGA